ensembl:lncRNA
GUCCAAUCACCAGCACUGUUCUGUUCUUGCUGAUUUAUCAUGGAUGCUGACAACUCAUGGUUACAUAUCAGGACCUCUGCGUGGGAAGAAUGGGAGUCAGAGGCUUUUAGACAUAAGAGGACACUGGAAAGUUUUGGAUUACAGUGAACAGUUAUGAGAGCUAUGGGUGAACUGGACUGUGCAGCAGGAACUGGCAUGAGAAAUCCCAAAGCCUGAGAGAGACUUCAGUGUGACGAGAGAGGGAGGUACACUUCUUGUCAUCAGAGGAAUCUCCUGGAGUGAACAGUGUGAUUCAGUUGUUUGCAGAUGCAGUAAAUUAAGAUAUAUGGGAUGCAUAUAAAAACAUGAUUUUGAGACAUUUGUAUUCUGCAUCCAAUAAUUAGAAAAAGCACAGCAGGUGCUUAUCAGUAAUUGGCUUAUCAAGGUCUUAUUGAUCCUGAAGAGGCACUAAAUAGCCCAUUUAACACAGUAUUAAUGGCUCUCAGUUGAUAUUUCACCAUUUUUCUAAUCUAUGCAGAUUACUCACAUCCAAAUUACUGUGUGAUAAGAAUUUUCCAUAGCAUGGCUAUGUGUAGUGCAAAGAAAUAUCCGUGUUGUUGAAACCCACUUUGGAUUGAUAAGGAUAUACAUCAUUAUUGUAUGACUCCUUAAUUUUCUUUGCUUAUCCUUAAGGUACUUAUUCCAAGAGUAGUAUAAAUGUUGCUCCUUGAUCAUUGUUGCAGUUUUUCAAUUCUCU